CCCUGGGUGGCACAAACGGCUAGUGCACUUGGCUGCUAACCAAAAGUUUGGAGGUUCAAGUCUACCCAGAGGCA
rnacentral:tRNA from 1 species